GACGAACGCUGGCGGCGUGCCUAAUACAUGCAAGUCGAACGGAGUGGCGGACGGGUGAGUAAUGUCUGGGAAACUGCCUGAUGGAGGGGGAUAACUACUGGAAACGGGCGCUAAUACCGCAUACUAUCAGAUGAGCCUAGGUCGGAUUAGCUAGUUGGUGGGGUAAAGGCCUACCAAGGCGACGAUCCGUAACUGGUCUGAGAGGAUGAUCAGUCACACUGGAACUGAGACACGGUCCAGACUCCUACGGGAGGCAGCAGUGGGGAAUAUUGGACAAUGGGCGAAAGCCUGAUCCAGCCAUGCCGCGUGUGUGAAGAAGGUCUUCGGAUUGUAAAGCACUUUAAGUUGGGAGGCGUUACCAACAGAAUAAGCACCGGCUAACUUCGUGCCAGCAGCCGCGGUAAUAC
rnacentral:rRNA from 1 species